UACGUAGGGUGCGAGCGUUAAUCGGAAUUACUGGGCGUAAAGCGUGCGCAGGCGGUUCGUUGUGUCGGCGGUGAAAGCCCCGGGCUUAACCUGGGAAUGGCCGUUGAAACUGGCGAACUGGAGUGUGGCAGAGGGGGGUGGAAUUCCGCGUGUAGCAGUGAAAUGCGGAGAGAUGCGGAGGAACACCGAUGGCGAAGGCAGCCCCCUGGGCUAACACUGACGCUCAGGCACGAAAGCGUGGGGAGCAAACAGG
rnacentral:rRNA from 1 species